GGAGCCUGCUUCAAACACCGGUAGCUUCACAUUUCUCACGCUCAAACCUUGUGCUUUUGGAGGGGUUUCACUUGCGAAGAAAAACAGGCACCAAAAAAAUUAACACCGGAAGACAAUUCUUGGCGACUUAGAAGAAGUUGGUUGCGGGGUUUUGUUUAGUUUUUUCUCUUUUUUGCACUUUUUUUCUUGUCUUCCUUCCUCUUCCAGUCUUACUUUUUUGGAUCGUUUUGUGGGGUCGUUCAGCGGAGUUGAACGUGAUCCAGAAGAGGCUGAGUUUUCGGCUCUGGGUUGGUCUCCGCCUUCUCUUUCACUGCCUGACAGACUACCGCCCUCCGGCUCUCACCACAAACGGUCAACCGGAACGGGAGCGACACUGAACAACUUCCGGCGCAGCUGGACUUCCCCGCAGAAGCCGUGGGUGAGCCCGACCACCACAACUCUGCCUCAGCUGCAGAAAUUUGAAGAGAGCCGUCCAGUAGAUUAUGCUUUAACCGCAUCUUUCAACACACAAAUGUUGUUAGGGUCACCUGGAAACGGUUUGUGUGCGCCGUCCUUCCAGAACGUGCGUACUGAGGUUGACCUUUUCCACACAGGCGACUAACAGAAGGCCAUAAUUAACUGCUGGUUAAUGGAGCGAGCUCUUUAAGUGGGAGAACAAAGAGACACCGAACGAGUCAGCGGAAAAGAAAAUGUCAGCUCCUCACAGAGACAAAGGGGCGCAAACGUCCUUCUCAGGGAGAAGACUUUUUAAAAAACACGAGGUCAAAGUUUAAACUUUAUAAAUAUGGAAUAAAUACAAGAAAAGAAAGAAGACUGAUUUUUGGAAUCAGAUGUUGAUGAAGACUUUUGGAACCUGGAGCUGACCUGGGUUCUUGAACGCACAUUAAGCCCAUGAUGUUCACACUGUACAAGCAGGGAGGGGCUUCUUUUGUUUUCAACUUUCUAUCAGCACAUGACCAAUACCUACAGUUGGAAGAGGCUUUCUGGGAAAUUUGAAAGCGGUGCAAUCUUGCUAAUCUUUCGCCAGGCUUUUUAUUUCACAGCUGUCUUCUGAUAUAUGAAAGACUUGAUGUCACCAUUUUCCCAAACCAGAAUUAUUUCGUUUUCCUCCAUGAUCAAUUUUCAAACAGUUGGGGCUUCCGUGAAUUCAAAGGCAUGCUAUCUAUACGUCACUACCAAAAUCAAGUCCCUGAUUGGUCAAAGUUAAACUUUCAAUUCACUUUGAAUUUACGUAGAGCACAAAAACAGUCGCAGAAACAUGUGUAACUAUGCAUGAACGCAAGACCUUUGAACGCAGAAGCCCAAAACUCAUAGUCCCAUGCGUUUACGUGGUCUUUUCUUUGGAAGUGGUCGCUUGAAGGCCUUGUUGAGGGCGGUGUGAAUGUAGCUUGAGACAACAAUCACAUUAGCAUGAUAAGAGUUUCCCUUAUCGUACAUAACUCUGUCCCUGUUUUUCUGCCCUGUAGUUGAUCAUCGUUCCACUAGGGGCAGUAGAAGGGCUUUUCCUGCUCAUUUCAAAAUGACUACCACCAUGAAAUCUCCAAAACACUUUUGCCGGGAAGCAUUUAGCUAAUUUUAAAAACUUUA
rnacentral:lncRNA from 1 species